AAUGAACGCUGGCGGCGCGCCUAAUACAUGCAAGUCGAGCGAGAAGACGUAGCAAUACGUUUGUAAAGCGGUGAACGGGUGAGGAAUACAUGGGUAACCUACCCUAGAGUGGGGAAUAACUAGCCGAAAGGUUAGCUAAUACCGCGUACGCUCCUUGGACUUCGGUUCAGGGAGGAAAGCGAUGCCGAGGGUAUCGCGCUCUUGGAUGGGCUCAUGUCCUAUCAGCNGUUGGUGAGGUAACGGCUCACCAAGGCUUCGACGGGUAGCUGGUCUGAGAGGACGAUCAGCCACACUGGCACUGCGACACGGGCCAGACUCCUACGGGAGCAGCAGUAAGGAAUAUUGCGCAAUGGGCGAAAGCCUGACGCAGCGACGCCGCGUGGGGGAUGAAGGU
rnacentral:rRNA from 1 species